CAAGAACUCAGGGGAUUCAAAUCUGAGAACUGUGCAACACUGCGCACCUGCUUUCUUGGUACAAGGGACUGGAAGGCUCGAAAAAGAAGAGCUGAUUUAGUUCGAGGUCCUGAUGUAGAGCAAAUGAAGAUCACACUUCUUGUGGAGAGGCCAUUAUCCAAGCCUGGGGUCCCAGCAUGCAUGGAAUCCUCCACAUAACUGCUAUUAGACAUCAGCUUGAAGUGCCUAAGGAAGUGUGCAACACUUGCUUUUCACAGGAAGGGGGAAGAAAGAUUCAGAAUGUCACAUAGAGACCCAAGAGUGGACAGUGGUGAUGCAGAAGACCAUUACUGAAGAAAUGCCCUGCCUGCAGGACUUCCUUCUGAGAAGUAAACCAGCCACAGCUGUCCCACUCCCCGCCACCCUCUCUCCUUGACCCUCUCACCUUGGCCCUGGAUGUUGACUCAGACUCUCCUUCCAGGCAGAGCGUCAGCCACUUAGCUUCCCUGGCCUGACCCCAGGAUGAACUCUGCAUCCAGCUCUCAGCUCCCCCAACUGCCUCAUCCUCUUUUCUUCCAUGGCCCCUUGGAGGCCAUUGAUGGGGUGGAAAUGGGAGAAGAGAAAGCUGCUGCAAGCUCUCCGCAUCCUCUCAUGCCCCCGAGGGUAUAUCUGAGCCUUUUCUCUCAGACCUUUAGGAAAAUAAGAUACUGAAUUAGAGGCACUGGAAGGCCCCACUGGAUUAAUACAGAGCUGGAAGAAUAGUGUCCUUUGCGAGGAAUGGAUGUGAGAGUGAGCAUUCAUGGGUAUGUCAGAUGAAAGAGAGCAGAGAUAAUGUUUGUGCUACAUUGCAUUGCCUUAAAAUAAAAGCUACUGUUUUAAAAAAGAAAGAACGGGGCAAAAUGGAGUCAUUUUUGCUAAGCCACAGUCACCAGACCAAAACUUAAUAAGUAAUCUAAUUGCAGUUUCAGCCUUUCCCACAAAUGGGAUUUUAAACCAGUAUGGAAUUUCCUGAUUGACACCAGUGAGGUGCUUUGCCUGGUAAGUCCCCUUGUCUUCCCAUAAGGGAAGGUAUUCUUGUAUGAAAUAAACCACUCUUUUAUAUUUUGUCCCACCCUCUUUCUGCAUAUAGAAACCUUCCAUUUUGGAGCAUGCUUCUAGUUGCUAGGUGGAAUGCUGCCUGAUUUAUGAAUCACUUAAAGCCAAUUAGAUCUUCAAAUUUACUUAGGUGAGUUUUGUUCUAACUUGAACAUGACCAACAUUACAACUAUCCCACCAUAGGCGCGC